rnacentral:rRNA from 1 species
UGGGGAAUUUUGGACAAUGGGCGAAAGCCUGAUCCCAGCAAUGCCGCGUGUGUGAAGAAGGCCUUCGGGUUGUAAAGCACUUUUGUCCGAAAAGAAAUCCUUGGCUCUAAUACAGUCGGGGGGAUGACGGUACCGGAAGAAUAAGCACCGGCUAACUACGUGCCAGCAGCCGCGGUAAUACGUAGGGUGCAAGCGUUAAUCGGAAUUACUGGGCGUAAGCGUGCGCAGGCGGUUUGCUAAGACCGAUGUGAAAUCCCCGGGCUCAACCUGGGAACUGCAUUUGGUGACUGGCAGGCUAGAGUAUGGCAGAGGGGGGUAGAAUUCCACGUGUAGCAGUGAAAUGCGUAGAGAUGUGGAGGAAUGCCGAUGGCGAAGGCAGCCCCCUGGGCCAAUACUGACGCUCAUGCACGAAA